rnacentral:rRNA from 1 species
GACGAACCGUGCGAACGUUGUUCGGAAUCACUGGGCUUAAAGGGCGCGUAGGCGGCAGAGCAAGUCCGGGGUGAAAGCCCCCAGCUUAACUGGGGAAGGGCCUCGGAAACUGCUGUGCUCGAGGGAGGUAGGGGUCGAGGGAACUUCUGGUGGAGCGGUGAAAUGCGUUGAUAUCAGAAGGAACGCCGGUGGCGAAAGCGCUCGACUGGACCUCUUCUGACGCUGAGGCGCGAAAGCUAGGGGAGCAAACGGG